rnacentral:rRNA from 1 species
UGCCCUAGUAACGGCGAGUGAAGCGGCAACAGCUCAAAUUUGAAAUCUGGCGCAAGCCCGAGUUGUAAUUUGUAGAGGAUGCUUCUAGGUAGCGACCGGUCUAAGUUCCUUGGAACAGGACGUCAUAGAGGGUGAGAAUCCCGUAUGUGACCGGCCCGCACCUUCUACGUAGCUCCUUCGACGAGUCGAGUUGUUUGGGAAUGCAGCUCUAAAUGGGAGGUAAAUUUCUUCUAAAGCUAAAUACCGGCCAGAGACCGAUAGCGCACAAGUAGAGUGAUCGAAAGAUGAAAAGCACUUUGGAAAGAGAGUUAAAAAGCACGUGAAAUUGUUGAAAGGGAAGCGCUUACAACCAGACUUCUGGGCGGUGUUCCGCCGGUCUUUUGACCGGUCUACUCGCCGUCCCGAGGCCAACAUCAUCUGGGACCGCUGGAUAAGACCUCAGGAAUGUAGCUUCCCUCGGGAAGUGUUAUAGCCUGUGGUGAUGCAGCGCGUCUCGGGUGAGGUCCGCGCUUCGGCAAGGAUGUUGGCGUAAUGGUUGUCAGCGGCCCGUCUUGAAACACGGACCAAGGAGUCUAACAUCUAUGCGAGUGUUCGGGUGUCAAACCCCUACGCGUAAUGAAAGUGAACGGAGGUGGGAAGCGUAAGCUGCACCAUCGACCGAUCCUGAUGUCCUCGGAUGGAUUUGAGUAAGAGCAUAGCUGUUGGGACCCGAAAGAUGGUGAACUAUGCCUGAAUAGGGUGAAGCCAGAGGAAACUCUGGUGGAGGCUCGCAGCGGUUCUGACGUGCAAAUCGAUCGUCAAAUUUGGGUAUAGGGGCGAAA